AGAAUAGAGACAGUUGCAGUAUCCCUACUGGAAUGUACCCACAGCUUCUGGUGUACACAACUCUGCUGCUGCCGUUGCCUAGAGCAGCUGCCAGCCUGGCAGACAAGGUGUUAACAGCUCCUCUCCUGAAAGAGCUGGGACUCCUGCGAUUCAGCACUGCUUUGCUGACAGGAUGAACAGCCCCUGCAGGGGUGAGUGCAGGCGCUUGGAACAGAGGACCUGGUCUAUCAGACCAGCCAUGCAGCGGACUGCCCUGACAUGACACGAGGGGUGUGGGCCAUUCUGCCACUUCUGCUGGAAGAAAACACAUGACCUCUGCUCCAAGGAGCAGGCAGACCAUUUAAGGUAAAACACAUCUCUGCCAGGUGUUUUGCUGAUACCAAGUAAAUUCCUGCAAACUCAGCCCACAGCUAGCUGAGCAGUGGGUCAUCCCAGAUCAUUACUGGAACAGUGCAGAGAUUGCAUUAGGUCAUCAAGGCAUAUCUGAAGAUGCACAUCAUCUCCCUUAUAACAACUUCUAGUUUCUGAGAAGGCUAAUCAAGAGGUGAAUCCAAUAGCUAAGCACUUACAGACUGGCAUCCUGCUCACCAGAAGGGUUCUCAGCAAAGUUGCUUUAUUUUUCAUAGCAAUGAAGAUCACCACUGUUGUCAUGCAGUUGGGACAGGCCUCAUUUUCAUAUAUAGAAAAAACACAGCAAGGUUUUAAACACACUGCAUGAGAGGAGACCAAGCAAUAUCACCAUGGCAGCUUGACCAUUUCUAUUAUACAGUGGGUUUGUAAAUAUGUUUAGAAAGACUGUCCAGUUAGCUCAAAUUCAUUCCCCUCACACACACACAUUGCAAAUCUGGUGUUGCUCUAUUAUGCUAAUGCCAUGCAUUUAGAAAAAUACCAAAACUAUUCAUUAGU